rnacentral:rRNA from 1 species
GACGAACGCUGGCGGCGUGCUUAACACAUGCAAGUCGAACGAUGAAGCCUUUCGGGGUGGAUUAGUGGCGAACGGGUGAGUAACACGUGGGCAAUCUGCCCUGUACUUUGGGAUAAGCCUUGGAAACGGGGUCUAAUACCGGAUAUCACUUACCUCCGCAUGGGGGUUUGUUGAAAGUUCUGGCGGUACAGGAUGACGCCCGCGGCC